CACUGACUGGAGAGAUGUUAACUCCUAAAACGAUGGACACGCUGAGCUAAAAAGGGAAAUUUCACACAUGGCUUUGAAAAACUGUCAGACAGAAUUAUGUGAAUAAUAUUUUCCUUACUUCUGAGAGAAAAGUACUUUUGCAUAACUAUUUCUGUGUAUGGAGAAAUGUGGAAGGAUACGAGCAGCAUCAGUAUUGCUUAUAAUCAUUAUCACUGUACUGCAUUCUGGAAACAAGGACGGUAGCUGUCACUUCACACUGCGAUCCUGAAGAUGAAUUCUAAAAUACGGCUAAUCAAAAAGAAAUAAAACAUAAUAGAACAACUCAGAAGACAAAAAAAAAAGAUGCAGGAAACGACAUACUCUCUUGACUUAUCUGCUAGCCACAUCCAGAUGUGGUCCUUCCACCUUUAACUAACACCAGCUUUGUUUCCAGAAUACAAACAAGCAAGUAGCUUAUGUCUAUGUAUUAUGAAGGGGAAAAAAGCAAGGCACUGAUUUAAAAAAAUGGCUGAACAGACCUACUGCGUCUGACAGUCGAAAAGGGUCUUUCUUUCUAACUGCUUCCAUGCAUUUAUACUAUGCCAACCAUUCUCAACCCAAUGCAUUUUAUUAUAAUAAUAAUUGUUCUUUAUUGCAGUAACAUGUAAGGAUUCCAAAUAGGGUUCAAGACCCUAUUAUUCUAGGCACCAUCCAUGUGCAUAAUAAAACCAUCUCUGCUGUAAAGAGCUUAUGAUCUUGACAUAUGACAAGGCAUAACAGUAAAAGAGAACAAACAAUUGCAGGGGAGGGGAGGAAGAGAAGCUAUCAAGAAAGCCAAUACACAGGGUGUGCUAAGUAGCAGUGUCUGACACUAACUGAUUAGCUGUUGUCAAGGGCUUUGUAUAAUCUGUAGAAAUAGUUUUUCACUGUGCCUUCUAUAUCAGUUAGUUUCCAGUUUAUAAAAUGCAAAUGUUGUCUUUACACCUCUUGAAUAAACUGCUGGGGGAAUGGGGAAAGGAAAGCUGAAAGACAGAAAUUAUAUAGGCUCUCUAAAGGAUAAGACACAAGGAUAUGGGAGCUUGUGCCAACCAUACCUGAUACCUGUGACCAAAUACAUUAAGGGAAAUUUCACAACUUCAGUCUUUAGAAAGUCUAAAGGAAAGUGGGAUCACUUUUGGUGUUAAUACUUUACCAUAUACCUUUUGCAGAUAUGGGAAAACAAUGCAUGUUUACACAAUUUGUGGGUAAAGUAUCUUAUUUUUUUCCCUUGUUUAAGAGUUUUUAAAUAGUGAACUUUGUAAUUUGGAUCACAGUAAAAAGAGACUGAAACAGCUUCUUUGACUGAAAUGCAGAAAUCGAGAUCUCAAUUUUCUCUUCCUGUUCUUGAAUUACAUGAUCAUAACACCCCUUCCCAGAACAGAAUUUAUAUAGAUUUCCUAUAAUACACAUGGGUGCUAGCAUCCUGUAAAUUUUCUGCUAGUCAAUUAUUAUGUGGGCAUAUAAAUGAGAAUGGAUUACCACAGAGAUGUGAAAGUAGAAAUAAAGAUAGCUGCAUUUUUUUUUUGGUCUCAGCAAAACCUUAAGAGAAACUGUAAAUAUUGGCAGUUCCUCAGUUUAAGCUUUUAAAUGUAAUGUUUUGGAAGUAUUAUUAUUGGCUUCUUUGAAGUGAAAAAGAAGUUGUUGAAAUUUUAUGCUGUGGAAAAAAAUAAGUGGU